rnacentral:lncRNA from 1 species
UGUGUCAUGCAAGAAGGAGGCGGCGGCGGCGGCCGGAGCUGGAGGGGGAGGAGGGGAGGAACCUGAUCCUCGGUAGCGAAGGGCUGGAGGCAAACACCGAGCUCCCCCUGAGCCGCCUGGGAGCAGGGAGGGUUCUGCUACCCUGAGGGGCCCUCCCCGCGGGGCAGAGGGGUUUCCUCAGCAGUGCCCCGGAGCAGGGACCGCGCCAGCCAGCAGAAACAGCUAGUUGUUGUCUGCAGUGAAGAAUAAUUGGAAGCAUGGUGCCUGUUUCUUUUCCUCUCAUCCUCGUCUACGGCCAAACGUUGGUUUCUCAUUUCUAGAAGAUGAAAGAUGUGAUGACUCAGGAAAAACUGGAAUCUUAGUAACUGUGGUGGGCAUUGAGCCUUGCCGUCCACAAGAGAAAGCUUGCUGCUCGAGAUGUGAGUCUUCAGAUGUUCCUGCCGCCAUAUCUGACAGCUGCUGCCAAGAUUCCCUGGUGGGAUGGACUCUUAUACCUCAACAACCAGAAGCCCAAGUAAACUCUUCUAUAAAUUGAAUGACUCAUGCUUAAAAAAAAAAACAAAAAACAAACUAUCUUUAUUUUGUGUGCAUUGGUGUUUUGCCUACAUAUAUGUCUGUGUGAGAGUGUCAGAUUCCUUGGAACUGUAGCUACAGAUAGUUGUGAGCCACCAUGUGGGUGCUGGGACUUGAACCCCAGUCCUCUAGAAGAGCAGCUGGUAGGUACUCUUAACCACUGGACCAUCCCUCUAGACCCUGAUCAUGGUGUUUUAACUACAGCAAAAGAAAAGUAAUUAGCACAAUCAGGUUAGCCAGAGGGCACACCUGUGACAGAUUUUUCCUAAGUGCAUUCAUCAGGGGGAGGCCCACCCUGGAUGGGGGCAGCACCCUUCCUUGGGUUUGGGUCUUAGAAAGAAUAAACACAGAGAGGGAGCUGAGCACAAGCCAGCAAGCACAAGCUAAGCAAGCACUGUCCAGUCUUCCUCUGCUUUGACUGAGGAUGUGACGUGUCUAGCUGCUUCAGGUUUCUGCCUCGAAUCCCCUGCAGUCAUAGACUAUAACCUGGAAUUGUGAGCCAAAAGAAAAACAAAAGAAAACAAAAUCCAUUUUCUCCCCAUAUGUUGCUUUUUGGUCAAAGCAUUUGAUCCCAGUAACAGAAAAGAAAUGAGGACAGGCAAGAAGAGGCCAUACCACAGAGCCAGGAGCAGGUUGUAGUGCCAAGUUGCAGAGGCCGGGGAGGAGCAUAGGUGCAGAGCAGCCGCUGUCAGAAUGUUCAGGGAAAAGGAGAAGAGAGGAUGUGUCAGGGAAGUGAGCUGGCUCAGUCCAUAACAGCAUGGUCUUGCUGUCUUUUACAGGGUCUGAAGUCUACCUUAGUGCAGUGGGAGCCACUAACUGUCCUAGUAUGAAGGAAGGAUAUUGAUGUUUUUUGGGCAUGUAAGUGUGUGUGUGUGUGUGUGUGUGUGUGUGUCCCCAUACUCUAGGGACUGAGCCUCCUCACCCAUGUACCACACAGCUUCAGUCCCAGUCCCAUAUUUUGUUUUCAAUCAAACUUUAUACAAAUGUUUCUCAAGAAAAUUAUAAGUUACUUCUUUUAUUUCUCAUUAAUAAUAUUUUGGGGUUUUUAUUUAAUAAAUUUUAAAGCAAGAUGAGCAUUUCA